rnacentral:lncRNA from 1 species
CAGCGACUUUCCAGAUCAAACACUCUGAAUAAACCUGUGUUGGUCCAGUUCUUAACAAAUUCCAAGCUUUCUAGUGUGGGUUGAUAUCGGCUGUUGGUCACUGAUCAAAUAUUCUUUUCAAAUCUCACAUACUCAAGAGCUCCCCAUGGUACCAGGAUGUACUGUACUAGGAAUGUGCUUUUUUUAGAGAAAAGGGAUUAUUUGAAUCUCUACAGAUUUAUCAAAGCUACUUGCAGUUUGAGGGUAGGGUGGGGUCAGGCAGGGACAGAUGACAUUCCUUCUUUUCUCUCACUCUCUCUUCUUUCUUCUGCCUCUUAAAUAUGAAUUCCAAGGAUGCUAACAUGCCUCUCUCAUCCAUUUCCACUCUGCCUGGGCCAUCUUGUCUUCACCAAGGGCUUCAUUACCAGCUAUGUAUACACUGAUUAAUAGGUUAUCCUUUCACUUGGAGCAAGAAGACUACUUUCUACUCGGCUGCGCCCAUCUGAGGCUUUGGGAAAACAUACAACUGCAAACACACUCAAUUGAGGCAGGCAGUGAGCGCCAUCUGGGAAAACCUCCUUCUCAGCGAGCUGCUUAUUUGACUUGCCAAAGCGUGGGCUGGUAUAUCCUUUUUAACAGGCUCAGAAUGAAUGAAUGGCAGCAGGAUAAGUGAGGAUGAAGAAUGAGCUGAAGGUGGACUUCACCUACAGCGGCUGAAUUCAGGUAGCCAGGACCUGCAGAACUGCAGAAUCACCGGAUACUCUCAGAAAGCAGAGAUAAACAGGAGACCAUCUGACCUCUAACAACCAUAACAGAAGCAGAUCUAAGACCUGCCAUCUGGACUUUAGAGCCAGGGGUGCAAGCAUUCAACAAACAGGCAGAGCAACAAGAGACCCACGAACAGCACUCCUCCCCACUGUGCAGAGGAGACCAUUGCACUGGACUUUUGCAUCAGAGCUUCCUAUGCUAUAACCAGAAAGUCAAAGCUCCCAGAAAACUUAGCCUAACUGAUCCGUAUCUACAUAUAUUCAGUCAGAGCUCAGAAGAAUUCAUGAACCCAAGAAUUCAGGGGCGCGUUCCUUACAAAUAAAACGCAAAAUAACAGCAACAAUAAAACCCAUUGGAAAGGGGAUCCUCCUGUACUGUCAGUGGGAAUGUAAAUUGGUGUAGCUACUAUGGGAAAAUGGUAUGGUGAUUACUUUAAAAAGUAAAAAUAGAGUUAUGAUCCAGCAAACCCUCUUCUGGGCAUAUAUCCAGAAAAGACAAAAUCUCUAAUUUGAAAUGAUACAUGUAUCCCAAUGCUCACAGCUGCACCUUAGAAUUGUAUGUAUGUGGUCUACACACGCACACGUACAAUGGAAUAUUACUCAGCCAUAAAAAGAAUGAAAUCAUGCCACAUGCAGCAAUAUGGAUGGACCUAGAGGUUAUCAUUUUGAAUUUAGUAAGUCAGAUAAAGAAAGACAAAUAGCAUAUGAUAUCACUUAUGUGGAAUCUAAAAACA